CACGUCAGCGCGAGAUGCUGACGUGGAAGGAAAUCACGUCCUUGGGAGCGCGAUUUCCUUCCAUGUCAGCAUCUCGUGCUGACGUGG
rfam:Gossypium hirsutum cultivar TM-1 chromosome 25, whole genome shotgun sequence